AACUGGCAGGAUGAGAACCAGCGUGUGGCAGAGGCCUCUCGGAGAGCACUGUUUGGUGCAGCCAGGUUCCUGAAGUGGAGGGACCUUGAGCACUUGGUGACCAUGGAGCAGCCGUGGAGGUUUCCCGAGUGCCUGCUGGAAAAGGACAGGAGCCGAGUGGGCCAGUACGUGCACCAGGCCCUGCCGUACCUG